rnacentral:rRNA from 1 species
CGAAAGCAAGGGGAGCAAACAGGAUUAGAUACCCUGGUAGUCCUUGCCGUAAACGAUGUGGAUUAGGUGUUGGGGGUGUCGAUCCCUCCAGCGCCGACGCUAACGCAUUAAAUCCACCACCUGGGGAGUACGGUCGCAAGACUGAAACUCAAAGAAAUUGACGGGGACCCGCACAAGCGGUGGAGCAUGUGGUUUAAUUCGAGGCUACGCGAAGAACCUUACCCAGGCUUGAAAAGCAGUUGACAGCCUACGAAAGUAGGUCUUCUCGCAAGAGACAAUUGUACAGGUGCUGCAUGGCUGUCGUCAGCUCGUGCUGUGAAGUGUUGGGUUAAGUCCCGCAACGAGCGCAACCUUUGCCCUUAGUUGCCAACAGGUAAUGCUGAGAACAAUAAGGGGACUGCCGGCGAAUAGCUGGAGGAAGGGGGAGAUGACGUCAAGUCAGUAUGGCCCUUAUGCCUGGGGCUACACACGUGCUACAAUGGCCGCGACAAAGGGCAGCAAACCCGCGAGGGGGAGCUAAUCCCAAAAAAACGGCCUCAGUUCAGAUUGGAGGCUGCAAUUCGCCUCCAUGAAGUCGGAAUCGCUAGUAACGGUAGAUCAGCUACGCUACCGUGAAUACGUUCCCGGGUCUUGUACACACCGCCCGUCAAGCCACCUGAGUCGAGAGCACCCGAAGUCGGUCACCCAACCCCCAAGGGAGGGAGCCGCCGAAGGUGAGAUCGGUAAGGAGGGCUAAGUCGUAACAAGGUAGCCGUA